UGCGUAGGCGGGCUAAUAAGUCAGUGGUGAAAUCUCUCGGCUCAACCGGGAAACUGCCAUUGACACUGUUAGUCUUGAGUUCGGUUGAGGUAGGCGGAAUGUGUAAUGUAGCGGUGAAAUGCUUAGAUAUUACACAGAACACCAAUUGCGUAGGCAGCUUACUAGACCGACACUGACGCUGAGGCACGAAGGCGUGGGGAGCGAACAGGAUUAGAUACCCUGGUAGUCC
rnacentral:rRNA from 1 species